UACGUAGGGGGCAAGCGUUGUCCGGAUUUAUUGGGCGUAAAGAGCGUGUAGGCGGCCUGACAGGUCUGCUGUGAAAACUCGAGGCUCAACCUCGAGACGUCGGUUGAAACCACCUGGCUAGAGUCCGGAAGAGGAGAGUGGAAUUCCCGGUGUAGCGGUGAAAUGCGCAGAUAUCGGGAAGAACACCCGUGGCGAAGGCGGCUCUCUGGGACGGUACUGACGCUGAGACGCGAAAGCGUGGGGAGCGAACAGG
rnacentral:rRNA from 1 species